GCUCUGUCCACCAAAGCCUGUUGACUGCCUUGACUCUGGGUGCUCCUUCUCCUCCUCAUUCAUCACCAAUCAGCUCUUAGGAAAGCACCUGCUAGCAGUCAUUUACACCUGAGCCUGAAUUUAAGUCAACAUUUAAUUCUCCCAGGUGCAUUUCCUUUUUUUUUUCUGAGACAGUCUUGCUCUGUCACCCAGGCUGGAGUACAAUGGCAUGAUCUUAGCUCACUGCAACCUCCGCCUCCUGGGUUCAAGUGAUUCUCCUGCCUCAGCCUCCUGAGUAGCUGUGAUUUACAGGUGCCCGCCACCACACCUGGCUAAUUUUUGUAUUUUUAGUAGAGAUGCGGGGGGGGGGUUUCACCAUGUUGGUCAGGCUGGUCUCGAACUCCUGACCUCAGGUGAUCCACCUGCCUCAGCCUCCCAAAAUUCUGGGAUUACAGGCGUAAGCCACUGUGCCUGGCCACAUUUGCUUUUGAAGCCCCAUCCUGUCUUCUAGAUUGUUCCCUGGCAAUGGCAAUUCCAGCACUGGGGAGAAGAGAGGCCAGGCAGGGCUCAUGAUUCUCACCCUGGAGACCCUGCCGCUUGCCUACUCUUAUUGCCUGAUGGACACAUAGUUCAGUGCAGUUAAACUGCACUGGAGCCAGAUCUAUGUGUCCAUAGUUCAGAGUGAGUUUGUCAGGAGCUGUCAGGGAGUAAGGCUGGGUAGAUAGAUGGAGUCAGACUCAUUCAAAAAUAGAAAAUCAGCAGAUAGGUUUAAAAAUGAAAAGAAGCAAGACAGAGUGAAGGUGGUUUCUAAACCAAACACCUGUCCCUUCUGUUUGUUUUCUGGUUUCUUUCCCCAUUGUUGGAGAAUGCUAGAAGGCAGACUGGCAAUUAAGUUCCUGGCCUGGCAUGGUGGCUUACACCUGUAAUCCCAGCAACUUAGGAGGCUGAGGCAGGAGGGGAUCACUUGAGCCCAGGAAUUUGAGACCAACCCGGGCAACAUGUUGAAACCCCAUCUCUACAAAAAAUACAAAAAUUAGCCAGGCAUGGUGGUGCAUGCCUCUGGUCUCAGCUACUUGGGGAGGCUGAUGUGGGAGGGUUGCUUGAACCCAGGAGGUCAAGAUUUCAGUGAACCAUGAUGGCCCCACUGCACUCCAGCCUGGGUGACAGAGCAAGACCUUGUCUCAAAAAACAAACAAACAAACAAACAAACAAACAAAAAACUCUUACAUUCGAAGUGCCUGGUGCAGGGAGAGUUUCUGAGGCCUCAUGUUUACCAGGGCACUGUGCUAUGUGCGGGAUAGUGAGGGGGAGAGACACCAUUCCAACACCUUGGAGGUGAGGUCUAGAGUCAGGAUCACAGAUGAAGGAGAGGAAGAGACUCCCACUACAAAUGGGCUGGGCUUCCCUGCUUUUGCCCACUGAGUGAACAACAGUGCUCUUUCUGUAGGUCUCUCUGAGCCUUAAGCAUGGAAUGCGAUGAGAUUGAAAGUGAUAAAAUGUAUUGCCGAAACUUCUCUUCAUUGAAAUGCAAAGGGGAAUAAAGAAUUUAGAAAUGAUCUGAGGUUUCCAGCUUGGGGAGAGAGAAAGUGAGAGGAAGUGGGGCCCUCAGGGGAAUGGAAUGAACACCUCCAAUUUCAGGCUUGUAGAUUGCAGUGGGGGGAGGCAGCUACAUGCACAUGUCCUUCCUGGAUGCUGGAAACAAGGUCAAAGCAGAGAUGGACAAGUAGGAGCGCAGCCUAGAGGAGAUAGGUGAUGCCUGAGCCAUGAGAAGGGUGUUAUCUCUGCAGGAGGAAGAAUUGCAACACCGCCUCCCAGCUGAGCAAACAGUCUGGGAUGUGAGUGGUAUCACACUCUGCACUCACUUCCUCCUUCAGUGGUCAUUUGAGAGUUCACUGGGGCUGACCUACCCGCCUGGUCCUGAAGGACAGAAAGGAAUGGAGAAUAAAGAAGGUCCAAGGUGCAUCUCUUCCUCCUCUUCCAAAGCCACCAAGGCACCUAUGGAUUUGCAGGCUGUGUGUGGUCACUGUGGACGGAGAGACUCCUACCCCACUGGGGGGCUUUGCCAUGCCAAGGCACAAAUCACAGCUUCUCUUUGCCCUCUGAAGUCAAAGGGAGAAGAUAGGGGUUGUCCAUCUUUUUUGGCAGCCUCAGAUGAUCCAACCUAAUAUACGUCAUUAACUAAUUGUGUGAUCUUGAACAAGUCACUUUAUCUCAUUGUGACUCAAGUGAACAUAGGGGUAUAGAGCAUUUGCCCUGCUGACCUCAUUGGAGCAUUGUGAAAUAAUAGCUAAUGAGAUAGUGCAUAGCAGGUGUUUUGCAAACUUAACAGUGAUAGGCAUAGCUUAGUUCCCAUGAGAAUGACUCUGACGAUUAUCCGUGGCAUUGGAAUACCGACCUCCCAUCCCUGAGAAAGCUCCAGGGGCAAAAUCCUGCUGAUCUCAUACUGUAGGACCAGAUUUCUUCUUUACAGGACAGGACAGGGUCUUGCUGUGUUGUCCAGGCUGGAAUACAGUGGUGUGACCAUAGCUCACUGCAGCCUCAAACUCCUGGCCUCAAAUGAUGCCACCUCAGCCUCCCAAAUUGCUGGGAUUCCAGUGGCGUGACUGGCAACCUGUGUGGUCUCCAAAACUGGAGCCCCAGCGAGAGGAACAGAUUCCCCAGCCGGCCAGAAACUGCCCAGCCUUGUGUCUACCCGCUGCCCAAGCUCAGAGCACUUCUCCCCGUCUCAGCACAUGCUGCCAGUGAGCCUUCUCUGCACCUUUUCAACUUGAGCUUUUCUCCAGAGGAGGCCACAGUGCCUUUCCUGAAGUUCCCAGCACUGCUUUUAAGAGGGCAGAGGAUGCAGAGGCCAAGAUGGAGAGCUGGUGAUGUCAUGUGAGGAAGACUUGACCAGCCAUUGUGAGCUUUGAAGAUGGUGGAAGGGGCCAUGAGCCAAGGAAUGUGGGCAGCCCCUAGAAGUUAGAAAAGUUCUUGUUCAGUUGCUCAAGCUCCUUCCCUUAGGACACCAGGACAGAAUCGCUAAGAUUGCUAAGACCCCAGGACAGUUUCCGGUAAGAAUGGCUAUAAAAGCACCACCAAGAUUCAAUCUUUAAAAGGCAGUGGCACAGAUUAUGCAUUUCCCUAUAAACUUGAAGUGUGUGGUUGGUGGGGGAGGGUACAGAGAAGCAGGUUCAGAGCUGGGCAUCAGCCCUUCGAAGUCACUGUCACACCACGCAGCUUGUUCUGGGGACACAGGGUUGGGCUGGGACUCCCCACAUUGGCCCUCAGUUUUCUUACCUGUGAGUUGAAUAUCCAGUGACCUCAGGAGGCCUCUUUGAUGUUUUAUCAUUUGAAGUAAUGAAAUGAUGCUGGAGAACUGAAAAAUCAUGCAACAUUUUCUUUUCUUUUGAGAUACAGUAUCACUCUGUCACCUAGGCUGGAGUGCAGUGGCACAACCUUGGCUAACUGUAGUCUCUGCCUCCCGAGUUCAAGUGAUUCUCCUGCCUCAGCAUCCAGAAUAGCUGGGACUACAAGUGUGCAUCACCAUGCUUGGCUAAUUUUCGUAUUUUUAGUAGAGACAGGGUUUCACCAUGUUGGCCAGACUGGUCUCAAACUCCUGACUUCAAGUGAUCCACGCGCCUCAGCCUCCCAAAGUGAUGUUACAGGCACGAGCCACCACGCCUGGCCAAAAUAAUGGAACACAUUCUAAAUACCAAGCAUGUUAGUUACAUAAUUUCAUUAGUUCCUCACGGCAGUUCUGCAAGGUCAUUAUGUCAAGUGGGUUCCGUUUUACGGAUGAGAACAUAGAGGCUGAGAGAGGUCGAGCAGUUUUUCAAGUCAUCCAGCUAGUAAGCUGAGGAACCAGGAAUUAUAUCAUGACGUCAGAAGCCUAUGCUUUUCCCUGUGACAUCAUGACACCUCCCCAGAAGGGCCCUGGGCCUGGAUCAUGCUGAGGACAGGAUCCGGGUGGCCAAACUGCAGGCUGAGUCCAGGAAUCAUGCUCUUGGGGAAAAUUUUUUGGCAUGCUGGGAUGGCAAAACUUGGGGUGACAAGAAUAACUCUUUGGCAGCACAAGUGUCUGUGAGUUUGUUUCUUUUCCUGACUUGCCUGGGAGCCAGUUCUGUGGUCUUGCCUAAGUCACUUGUCUUCCCUGGGCUUCAGUCUUCUGGUCUGUGAAAUGGGGAAGAUGGACUAGAAUCAGU